rnacentral:rRNA from 1 species
UAGUUAUGUUCUUGAAACCCAAAGAAUUUGGCGGUAUUUCAGUCCAUUCAGAGGAAUCUGUCCCUUAAUCGAUAGUCCACGAGAAAAUGUACUUGUUUUUGUUUUCAGCUUGUAUACCUCCGUCAUAAGGGAAUCUUUUUAGAGAAAAAUUUUCUUAAUUUAUCAAUUACAAGAUGUCAGGUCAAGGUGCAGCUUAUGAAUAAGUGGAGAUGGAUUACAAUAAAUUUAUUUAUAUGGAUUGUGGUAUUUAAUGCUUACUUGAAGGUGGAUUUGAUAGUAAAAUUAAUUUUUUAUUAUUUUGAUUUUUGGCUCUGAAAUAUGC